rnacentral:tRNA from 1 species
UGGUCGGUAAUUCAAGAGUAGAGUGUCCGCCUGUAAAGCGGAAUGUUCCUGGUUCGAAUCCAGGCCGAUCAGCCA